GCCUGGGUGGCUCAGUGGGUUGAGCAUCUGACUUCGGCUCAGGUCAUGAUCUCACCAUUUGUGAGUUCAAGCCCCACAUCAGGCU
rfam:Felis catus isolate Cinnamon breed Abyssinian chromosome A2, whole genome shotgun sequence.